UACGUAGGGGGCAAGCGUUGUCCGGAUUUACUGGGCGUAAAGGGCGCGUAGGCGGCCUGCUAAGUCGAACGUGAAAUCCCUGGGCUCAACCCAGGAACUGCGUCCGAUACUGGUUGGCUUGAAUCCGGGAGAGGGACGUGGAAUUCCAGGUGUAGCGGUGAAAUGCGUAGAUAUCUGGAGGAACACCGGUGGCGAAGGCGACGUCCUGGACCGGCAUUGACGCUGAGGCGCGAAAGCCAGGGGAGCAAACGGG
rnacentral:rRNA from 1 species